rnacentral:rRNA from 1 species
GGGUUGUGAGGUUAAGCGACUAAGCGUACACGGUGGAUGCCCUGGCAGUCAGAGGCGAUGAAGGACGUGCUAAUCUGCGAUAAGCGCCGGUAAGGUGAUAUGAACCGUUAUAACCGGCGAUUUCCGAAUGGGGAAACCCAGUGCGACUCGUCACACUAUCAUUAACUGAAUCCAUAGGUUAAUGAGGCGAACCGGGGGAACUGAAACAUCUAAGUACCCCGAGGAAAAGAAAUCAACCGAGAUUCCCCCAGUAGCGGCGAGCGAACGGGGAGGAGCCCAGAGCCUGAAUCAGCAUGUGUGUUAGUGGAAGCGUCUGGAAAGGCGCGCGAUACAGGGUGACAGCCCCGUACACAAAAGCGCAUGUGCUGUGAGCUCGAUGAGUAGGGCGGGACACGUGGUAUCCUGUCUGAAUAUGGGGGGACCAUCCUCCAAGGCUAAAUACUCCUGACUGACCGAUAGUGAACCAGUACCGUGAGGGAAAGGCGAAAAGAACCCCGGCGAGGGGAGUGAAAAAGAACCUGAAACCGUGUACGUACAAGCAGUGGGAGCACCCUUCGGGGUGUGACUGCGUACCUUUUGUAUAAUGGGUCAGCGACUUAUAUUCUGUAGCAAGGUUAACCGAAUAGGGGAGCCGGAGGGAAACCGAGUCUUAAUUGGGCGUUAAGUUGCAGGGUAUAGACCCGAAACCCGGUGAUCUAGCCAUGGGCAGGUUGAAGGUUGGGUAACACUAACUGGAGGACCGAACCGACUAAUGUUGAAAAAUUAGCGGAUGACCUGUGGCUGGGGGUGAAAGGCCAAUCAAACCGGGAGAUAGCUGGUUCUCCCCGAAAGCUAUUUAGGUAGCGCCUCGUGAAUUCAUCUCCGGGGGUAGAGCACUGUUUCGGCUAGGGGGCCAUCCCGGCUUACCAACCCGAUGCAAACUGCGAAUACCGGAGAAUGUUAUCACGGGAGACACACGGCGGGUGCUAACGUCCGUCGUGAAGAGGGAAACAACCCAGACCGCCAGCUAAGGUCCCAAAGUCAUGGUUAAGUGGGAAACGAUGUGGGAAGGCCCAGACAGCCAGGAUGUUGGCUUAGA